AGGACGAACGCUGGCGGCGCGCUUAACACAUGCAAGUCGAGCGAGAACCAGGGCUUCGGCCCUGGGGACAGCGGCGAACGGGUGAGUAACACGUGGGUAACCUGCCCUCGGCACCGGAAUAGCCCGGGGAAACCCGGAUUAAUGCUGGAUAGCCUCACGGAUCCUCGGGUCUGUGAGAAAAGGUAGCCUCGGCUUCCGGCUGAGGAUGGGCCCGCGGCCGAUUAGCUAGUUGGUGAGGUAAUGGCUCACCAAGGCUACGAUCCGUAACUGGUCUGAGAGGAUGAUCAGUCACACUAGGAACUGAGACACGGUCCAGACUCCGUAACGGGAGCAG
rnacentral:rRNA from 1 species